rnacentral:rRNA from 1 species
AACGAACGCUGGCGGCAGGCCUAACACAUGCAAGUCGAGCGAGGACUUCGGUCCUAGCGGCGGACGGGUGAGUAACGCGUGGGAACGUGCCCUUUGCUUCGGAAUAGCCCUGGGAAACUGGGAGUAAUACCGGAUGAGCCCUUUGGGGGAAAGAUUCAUCGGCGAAGGAUCGGCCCGCGUUGGAUUAGGUAGUUGGUGGGGUAAUGGCCUACCAAGCCGACGAUCCAUAGCUGGUUUGAGAGGAUGAUCAGCCACACUGGGACUGAGACACGGCCCAGACUCCUACGGGAGGCAGCAGUGGGGAAUCUUAGACAAUGGGGGAAACCCUGAUCGAGCCAUGCCGCGUGAGCGAUGAAGGCCUUAGGGUUGUAAAGCUCUUUCAGCUGGGAAGAUAAUGACGGUACCAGCAGAAGAAGCCCCGGCUAACUCCGUG